GAGUUGUAAGCUGAAGAAGUGUCGACCGACAUGGUCUGGGUCCAAUUUCUUUGGAACAAGAUGUCAUGGAGGGUGAGAACCCCGUCUGUGGCUCGGAUACCAUUGUCCUUGUGUCGUAUCUUCGAAGAGUCGGGUUGUUUGGGAAUGCAGCUCAAAAUGGGUGGUAAAUUUCAUCUAAGGCUAAAUAUUGGCGAGAGACCGAUAGCAAACAAGUAGAGUGAUCGAAAGAUGAAAAGUACUUUGAAAAGAGAGUGAAACAGUACGUGAAAUUGUUGAAAGGGAAGCGUUUGGCAUCAGCCCAUGGCACCCGUCGAUCAUCCAGGCUUCUGUCUGGUGCACUUGUCGGGUGUCGGGCCAGCGUCGACUUUGCCUGCUGGAUAAAGGCCUUGGGAAUGUGUCUCCCUUGGGAGAGUUACAGCCCUUGGUGUCAUGCAGUGUGGUGGGGUCGUGGUCCGCGGUUUAUCCUAGGACGCUGGCGUAAUGGUUCCAAGCGACCCGUCUUGAAACACGGACCAAGGAGUCUAACAUCUAUGCGAGUGUUUGGGUGUCAAGCCCGUCCGCGCAAUGAAAGUGAAUGCAGGCGGGAG
rnacentral:rRNA from 1 species